AGAGUUUGAUCAUGGCUCAGAUUGAACGCUGGCGGCAGGCUUAACACAUGCAAGUCGAGCGGAGAUGAGGUGCUUGCACCUUAUCUUAGCGGCGGACGGGUGAGUAAUGCUUAGGAAUCUGCCUAUUAGUGGGGGACAACAUUCCGAAAGGAAUGCUAAUACCGCAUACGUCCUACGGGAGAAAGCAGGGGAUCUUCGGACCUUGCGCUAAUAGAUGAGCCUAAGUCGGAUUAGCUAGUUGGUGGGGUAAAGGCCUACCAAGGCGACGAUCUGUAGCGGGUCUGAGAGGAUGAUCCGCCACACUGGGACUGAGACACGGCCCAGACUCCUACGGGAGGCAGCAGUGGGGAAUAUUGGACAAUGGGGGGAACCCUGAUCCAGCCAUGCCGCGUGUGUGAAGAAGGCCUUAUGGUUGUAAAGCACUUUAAGCGAGGAGGAGGCUACUGAGACUAAUACUCUUGGAUAGUGGACGUUACUCGCAGAAUAAGCACCGGCUAACUCUGUGCCAGCAGCCGCGGUAAUACAGAGGGUGCGAGCGUUAAUCGGAUUUACUGGGCGUAAAGCGUGCGUAGGCGGCUUUUUAAGUCGGAUGUGAAAUCCCCGAGCUUAACUUGGGAAUUGCAUUCGAUACUGGGAAGCUAGAGUAUGGGAGAGGAUGGUAGAAUUCCAGGUGUAGCGGUGAAAUGCGUAGAGAUCUGGAGGAAUACCGAUGGCGAAGGCAGCCAUCUGGCCUAAUACUGACGCUGAGGUACGAAAGCAUGGGGAGCAAACAGGAUUAGAUACCCUGGUAGUCCAUGCCGUAAACGAUGUCUACUAGCCGUUGGGGCCUUUGAGGCUUUAGUGGCGCAGCUAACGCGAUAAGUAGACCGCCUGGGGAGUACGGUCGCAAGACUAAAACUCAAAUGAAUUGACGGGGGCCCGCACAAGCGGUGGAGCAUGUGGUUUAAUUCGAUGCAACGCGAAGAACCUUACCUGGCCUUGACAU
rnacentral:rRNA from 1 species